rnacentral:rRNA from 1 species
GACGAACGCUGGCGGCGUGCUUAACACAUGCAAGUCGAACGCUGAAGCUCAGCUUUUGUUGGGUGGAUGAGUGGCGAACGGGUGAGUAACACGUGAGUAACCUGCCUCCUUCUUUGGGAUAACGCCCGGAAACGGGUGCUAAUACUGGAUAUUCACUGGUCUUCGCAUGGGGGUUGGUGGAAAGGGUUUUUCUGGUGGGGGAUGGGCUCGCGGCCUAUCAGCUUGUUGGUGGGGUGAUGGCCUACCAAGGCUUUGACGGGUAGCCGGGCUGAGAGGGUGACCGGUCACAUUGGGACUGAGAUACGGCCCAGACUCCUACGGGAGGCAGCAGUGGGGAAUAUGGGACAAUGGGUGCAAGCCUGAUGCAGCGUCGCCGCGUGAGGGAUGGAGGCCUUCGGGUUGUGAACCUCUUUCGCUAAUGGUCAAGCCGCAACAAUGGUUGUGGUGAGGGUAGUGGGUAAAGAAGCGCCGGCUAACUACGUG